UGGCGGUGAAGGAGGUCGCAUCCCCUUACACCAGCUGCCGUGUUGAGCGGGUAACGUCCAGGUGUGUGUGUGCUUAUGUGGGCUUGAGUGGAGACACCUGUACUCGCAUCCACCUGUCGUGCGGACCUGCCAAAGGGGGUGAUCGGUGCUAAGCGGAUCGGAGAGUUCCCUGAGUGACGCCGCUUACUACGGCUCGAUUCCUGCGUCAACGUGUGUGCAUAUGUGAGGAAGAGAAGUCGAACAAUGAUAGAUGAUAAAACGAUGGACCGGUAAAGGAAACUGAGAAGAAAGGACGGAGAAAAGAUUGAAAAAUGAACUGGUAGAGGGAGCUUACAAGAAAGGGAGAAUACAAUAAUCGGAAUCGAACGUGAAACAAAGAUAGAAUGAUGGACUGAUAAAGGGAAAUGAGAAGCGAUAGAAGCGAUAGAAUAUUGAACUGAUAAGGAAAACUGAUAAGAAAAGGUGAAAUACAAUAAUGAGCUAAAACAAUGAAAUAAGGAGCUAAAAAAGAGAACUGACAAGAAAGAUAUAAAAUAAUGAGCUGAUGAAGUAAACAGACAUGAAAGAGAAAAUCAAAAUAAUGAAAUAAUACAAUGAAAAAAAUAAUGAACUAAUACGAUAAGAAAAAUGAUGAACUAAUACGAUAAAAAAAUAAUGAACUAACACGAUGAACAAUUUAACUAAUGAAGAGAACUGAAAAGAAAAGGAGAAUUCACUAAUGAGCUAAUACACUACAAUAAUUAACUAAAAAAAACCUGACAGGAAAGUGAAAAACAACUAAGAUUGAUAAAAGAAACGGAUUGCAAGCGAACAGAGACGAAGAUGCAUUCCUAGUGGUAACAGAUAAAAAAGAAAACGGAGACAAUGAAUGCUAAACUAAUACAAAAUGAAACAAAAAAGAAGAGUUAAGAAAAUAGUGUCCUCAUAAUACAAACCUUCGGGAAAAUAAACAUAAGAGACAUCAGUGGAUAAGAGAAACGGUCAGGAGUAUAGGAGGCAGGCAUUAACAGUGAUAAAAGAAAAAGAACAGGAAGAGAAUAGACAUUAGCUCAGUUCAGGUCAAGUAUAAGUCGGGUUGAGAGCCUCCGCAACGGCCUCUCUUCUGUGUCUUUUCCUUCCGCUUAUUCUCGUGUGUUUGUGUUAUCCGCUUUUUCUCGAGUGCUUGUUGUUCUGUGUUUCUCUCCUCUUCCCCCAGACUCGUAAAUCAUGUGUUGCCCUUCCCCUUUCUGUAUGUGUCACCCGCAGAGAAAGUAAAAAGGAAACAGACAGGAGAAGAGGGAGCUAUAAUUCACACAUAGAGGAAACGGGAAAAGGGAGAGAGGAAACAUUGAUACGCACACAAAGCAAACGCAGGAAAUGCAAAAAUACGUGUAACGAGAGUGCGCUGCGGCGGUGAUAUCGGGCGGAAUACAUUAAUAGACAAUCACGGUUUAAUUAUCAGUUAAAUGCACCUCCAAAUGACACUGAGAUAAGUAAUGACCCGAGGAAGUCUUUCUCGGUGACGACGCGCACCUCGGCGGAAAAUGACGCAGAGGAGGAAUAAAACGGAAAAGGAGGACUUACAGAAAUAGAAAAGUAAAUAAAUAGUGAUAUAAAAAACAAGAACACGGCUUGAACGAACAGAUUUAAGACUGGUGAUGCAAAAAUCGUUAGAAAAUACAACGAAAAAGACUGAAAAAGACGGAAAUCCAGUGUGCUGCCAAAAAAUAAAUGCCGAUGAGAAAUAGAAUGGAAACCGACGUACAGAAAUAGAAAAUAAUAAAGAGAUCGUGGUGCAGAAAGAAGACAGCUUGAACAAACAAUAGUAAAGUCAAGGGAUGCAAAAAAAAAUGUAAAAAAAAGUAUUCAGAAAAUGCCUGAAAGAGACUGAAAGCUAUCGUGCUGCAAAAACAAGACUUGCGAAAUAGUGAAUCGUAAAAUAAAAGUUAUAAAGAAAAGAAGAAAAAAACUUUGCAAAACCAAACUAAACAUGACAUUGCGAUAGGAAAUAAUGGCUCGGGGAAAUUGGUUGAAUAUAUGAAGUGAAAUACAAGUUGAAAAAAUAGCAGAAAACUAUAUUAAAAAAAGUAUAUUUCGGUGGCGCAAGAGUUUAUCGGUGAGGAUGUAAAACUCUGCAAAGUAAUUUAACGUGAAUAAAAAAAUAAAGAGUUCUAGAAAUAGAAUAAAAAUAGACACGCAUAUAAAUACAGUCGUUGAGGAAUCGUGAUACAAAAAAAAGUAUUUCUCUGUGGAACAAAAACAAAAACAAAACUUUCUCGUCGAUGAGGACUGAAAAGUUUGUAGAGAAAAAGUGACUCGCAAAAUAAAACUGAAAGUGACAUCCAGCGAAAAAAAAUACGAAUAUCAGAAAUCGUGGAGUCAAAAGUUUUUUCUAGCGAGGUUUAAAUUAAUGAGUGCAAGAGAAUAGGAAAGUAAACCAUCAACUUAAACUUUUAUACACACACGAAGAACCAUCCUGGGAAAAUCUCAUCGCCCAGAAAAAUAGUGAGGCAGAAAAAUGCCCAACGAAAUAGAGUCCCAGCCAAGACAAAGUGACGUGCAGAGAAGAGUAAAACAUUAAAGUACUUCACGAAACCCUCAAUUCCCCCCCCGACACACACACACA